GUUGCAGCAGCAGCAGCAGCAGCAACGUGGUGGUGGUUUUUGGCGGGAUGGAAAGUCCGAACCAAACGGAUCUGCAAAGGUCUUGAACUGAGUCAGUGAAAAUGCCGGCUGCAGCUAAAUCAGGUAUGGAUCUUCUCUUUUUUUCACCUCACAUGUUUCUGGAAGUCAUAACUGUUAUUGCUCUGAAAUAAAUAAAAAGAAAAUUGAAGUGGU